rnacentral:rRNA from 1 species
UACGUAGGGCGCAAGCGUUGUCCGGAAUUAUUGGGCGUAAAGAGCUCGUAGGCGGCUUGUCGCGUCGGAUGUGAAAGCCCGGGGCUUAACCCCGGGUCUGCAUUCGAUACGGGCAGGCUAGAGUUCGGUAGGGGAGAUCGGAAUUCCUGGUGUAGCGGUGAAAUGACGCAGAUAUCAGGAGGAACACCGGUGGCGAAGGCGGGAUCUCUGGGC